ACGUAGGUGGCAAGCGUUGUCCGGAAUUAUUGGGCGUAAAGAGCAUGUAGGUGGGCUUUUAAGUCCGAUGUGAAAAUGCGGGGCUCAACCCCGUAUGGCAUUGGAUACUGGAAGUCUUGAGUGCAGGAGAGGAAAGGGGAAUUCCCAGUGGAGGGGUGAAAGGCGUAGAUAUGGGGAGGAAAACCGAAGGCGAAGGUGGCAAGCGGGACUGGGUCGGACACUGAGAUACGAGACCGAGGGUAGCAAAGGG
rnacentral:rRNA from 1 species